rnacentral:rRNA from 1 species
GGGUCAGUAGGUUGGUCGUGCCACCGGUACGUACUGGUCUCACUGAUUCCUCCUUCCUGAAGAACCGUAAUGCCAUUAAUUUGGUUGUGCGGGGAAACAGGACUGUUACUUUGAAAAAAUUAGAGUGUUUAAAGCAAGCUAACGCUUGAAUACAUUAGCAUGGAAUAAUGAAAUAGGACGAUCGAUCCUAUUUUGUUGGUUUCUAGGAUUGACGUA